AGGCACAGUGGCUUAUGCCUGUAGUCCCAGCACUUUGGGAGGUCGAGGCAGUUGGAUCACCUGAGGUCAGGAGUUCAAGACCAGCCUGACCAACAUGGUGAAACCCCGUCUCUACUAAAAAUACAAAAAUUAGCCAGGCAUGGUAGUGGGCACCUGUAAUCCCAGCUACUCAGGAGGCUCAGGCAGGAGAAUUGGUUGCACCUGGGAGGUGGAGGCUGCAGUGAGCCAAGAUCAUACCAUUGCAGUCCAGCCUGGGCGACAGAGCAAGACUUCGUCUCAAAAAAAAAAAAAAAAAGGGAAAGAAAAAUUAUAACCAAUCGACAUUCAAUAAAUUAUUUAUUGGCUGGGCGCAGUGGCUCAUGCCUGUAAUCCCAGCACUUUGGGAAGCCGAGGUGGGCAGAUCACAUGAGGUCAGGAGUUCGAGAGCAUCCUGGCUAACAUGAUGAAACCCUGUCUCUACUAAAAAUACAAAAAUUAGGUGGGCAUGGUAGUGCGAGCCUGUAGUCCCAGCUACUUGGGACGCUGAGGCUGGAGAAUCAUUUGAACCCGGGAGGCAGAGGUUGAAUGAGCCAAGAAUGGCAUCACUGCUCUCCAGCCGGGACAACAGAGCAAGAUUCUGCCUCAAGGAAAAAAAAAUUCAAUAAGUUAUUUAUUUGUCAAAUAAUUUAUAAAGCAGCUUUCUCAAAGCCCUUUCAAAAAGUUUACAGCAGCCAAGAGUGGUGACUCAUGUCUGUAAUCCCAGCACUUUGGGAGGCCAAAGUGGGCAGAUCACCUGAGGUCAUGGGUUCGAGACCAGCCUGACCAACAUGGUGAAACCACGUUUCUACUAAAAAUACCAGAAUUAGCCAGGCAUGUUGGCAUCAGCCUGUAGUUCCAGUUACUUGGGAGGCUGAGGCAGGAGAAUCACUUGGACCCAGGAGGCGGAGGCUGCAGUGAGCCAAGAUCAUGCCAUUGCACUCCAGCCUGGGCAAUGGAGCGAGACUCUGUCUCAAAAAAAAAAAAAAUUACAGCAAAAAAUACUUGAUGUGGGCCACAGGUGUGUUUUAAUAUGCUUGAUCUGAUGUGCGAGAGGCCCUGAGAGGGAGUGUUUCCAGGACCUACAGAGGGAAUGAGAGAGGAGAGUCCCUGCUGUCGGGAGGUGGGUGAGAAAAGCUCCUACCACUGCAGAAAUCCUCCUGUAAGGCUCCUCGGCGGCUCACCAGGCGAUUCCUCAGCGAAGAAAGGUGAGGCAGCUUGCCCAGGGUCACCCGGCCAGUCUCAAUUGAGGACUGACAACCAAAAUGAGUGACUGAGGCAAGUCUUAAUCACUGAGGUUUAUUAAGCCACGUUAGGGCGCUUCUGGGAAAAACAAGCCACAGACACAUCUGUGGCUGUUUUUCCCAAGAAGUUCCAAGUUUUGUAUUUGUACAUUUCUUCCUUUUUUUUUUUCUUUUUGAUACGGAGUUUCACUCUUGUUGCCCAGGCUGGAGUGCAGUGGCGCGAUCUCAGCUCACUGCAACCUCCACCUCCCGGGUUCAAGCGAUUCUCCUGCCUCAGCCUCCCGAGUAGCUGGGAUUACAGGCAUGAGCCACCACACCCGACUGAUUUUUGUAUUCUUAGUAGAGACGGGGUUUCUCCAUUUGGUCAGGCUGGUCUCAAACUCCUGACCUCAAGUGAUCCACCCACCUCAGCCUCCCAAAGUGCUGGGAUGACACCUAGGAAGAGGGGCAGGCGGGCAGUCAGGCUUAGGCGAACACUACAUUUUAUAUAAGAUAAGGUGAACAUCUGAAGGUGGAAAUGAGCGCCACUGCACUCAGCCUGGACAACAGAGCAAGACCCUGUCUCAAAGAAAAAGAGAAGUGUGAGUGGUCCUGAUUUUUAAAAUUUUCCUUUACAGGACUUUGGACACUAGAACUAGGCCUCUUUCCAAAACAUGCUGAUACUGAAGGGGUCACGCUGAAGGCUGAGGGCUAGGGCCUUUAAAGGUGGGGCACCCUCUUCCUUCUACCCGUCCUUGACCCUCAGCAGACUACAGGUUGAUCUCCCCUUUGCCAUGAGUGCCCAAGGAGGGAACUUGUGAUCUAGCAGUUUCUUGAUAAUCCCCAAAAGGCUUUAAUUACUCCAUUUCCCUGCCACGCCCAGGGCAGGAGGAGGGUGAGCGGGAAAGCUGUCCACCUUCUGCUAAACGGGUCAGGAGGCAUCGGGAGCCACGUGGGUUGUGGUUUAGGAGCCUGAGCUGCUGAUCCCCAGGCAGGCCUACACAAUGGGAGCUGCUCCCUGCAGCCCCCGGGCCGGCCUGGGUUGCAUAACCCAUGAGGUCAGCCCGGCCUGCGGCAGUUGCUUUCCCACAACGGAGGGGCCGCUCCCCACCUCCUGCGGGACCCACAGCCCUGGGUCUCUUUCCAGCUUUCCUCUUUCACUGGCAAAGCUGCAGGCCCCAUAAACUGGGGAAGGGUUGAGGCCCUGCCUCUCCUGAACUGGGCAAGGGUCGAGGACUUCCCCAUGGGUCCAGGCCUCCAGCAUUACAUCAGGAGGUAGCCUGGGGAGGACAGAGCACUGAAUCCCUCUGGCAUCAGCUCCUCUGGCCAGCCCUGCACCUGCUCUGUGGGGCUAGGGCCUGGGGAGGUGUCCCAAAAUAGCCCGCAGGGGCCCGGGAGCUCUGGCCUUCAAGGUCAGACACUAGCACUGAGAAUCCUGGUGAGGCUGUCUUCCCAGACCCCGCCUGGCAGGCCGGCUGGGCACGGCUGCGGAGAAAGACAGGGCAGGCUCCCCAGGCACUGGCCCCCGCGGCAACCUCUCCUGUCUCUAAAAUCGGAUGUAGAUUAAGAACGCUCCAUCUGGCAAGACCAAAUGGAAUUCGGCAGAAGCAUAACCAGGACACUGGGUUUUGGAUCUGUGACUCUCCACACAUGCAGAGGACAAAAAUACAAGAGAAAGGGGUCAGGAGAGAGGCGUAUGAUGGGGGGCGGGGGUGUGAUGUGUGUGUUGUGUGGGUGUUGUGUGUCUUUAUGAUAUGUGUGUGUACACCUGUGUUGUGUUGUGUGUGUAUUGUAUGUGUUCUGUGUGUCUGUUGUGGUGUGUGUUGUGUGUGUGUGAUGUGUCUGUUGUGUGGUGUUUGUAUUGGUGUUGUAUGGUGUGUGGUGUGUGUGUGUCUGUGUGUGAUGUGUCUGUUGUGUAGUGUGUAUGUAUGGGGUGGUGUGUGAUGUGUGUGUCUGUUGUGUGGUGUGUGUAUGAUGUAUGUCCGUUGUGUGGUGUGUGGUGUGUCUGUUGUGUAGUGUGUGUAUAUGGGGUGGUGUGUGGGGUGUGUGUGGUGUACGUGUGUUUGUUGUGUGGUGUGUCUGUUGCAUGAUAUGUGUAUGGGGUGGUUGUGGUGUGUGUCUGUUGUUUGGUGUGUGUGUGUGUGUGUGUGUGUCUGGGGGGUUGUGUGCUAUAUGAUGUGGGGAAUGGACAUUGACUCAGUGUGUGGUGUUGUCUGUUGUGUGUUGUGGUGUGUGUAUCUGUUGCGUGUUGUGUGGUGUGUGGUGCGUGUGUGUGUCUGGGGGGUUGUGUGCUAUAUGAUGUGGGGAAUGGACAUUGACUCAGUGUGUGGUGUUGUCUGUUGUGUGUUGUGUGUGUGUGUCUGGGGGGUUGUGUGCUAUAUGAUGUGGGGACAUUGACUCAGUGUGUGGUGUUGUCUGUUGUGUGUUGUGUGUGUAUCUGUUGUGUGUUGUGUGGUGUGUGGUGUGUGUGUGUGUCUGGGGGGUUGUGUGCUAUAUGAUGUGGGGAAUGGACGUUGACUCUGUGCGUGUGGUGUGUGUGCCUGUUGUGUGUUGUGUGGUGUGGUGUGUGUGUGUGUCUGGGGGGUUGUGUGCUAUAUGAUGUGGGGAAUGGACAGUGACUCAGUGUGUGUGGUGUGUGUCUGUUGUGUGAUGUGUGUUGUGUGGUGCGUGUGUGUGUCUGGGGGGUUGUGUACUAUAUGGUGUGGGGAAUGGACAUUGACUCUGUGUGGCUGGAAAGUGAUCUUUCAAGAGAGGAUUAACCAAAGGAAAUGGGAAAUUGAGGUCAGGAUGGAUAAGGAAAACAUGGGGCAAACUGGGUGGUCAGAGAAAGACGAGGAUGGCCUCUAGGCUCCAAGAGCACCCCAGAUAAAAGGCUGGAAUAGGGGCAGGAGAGAAGCCCCCCGUACAGAGGGUUAUUCCAGGGCCUGAGGGCAUCCCCUCCACCCCAGAGGAGUGAAGGUGGGAGGAAGUGUUUUCUGCUUAAGCAUUGGGAAUAAACGUGGCUGCCAACAACAGAAAACUUGACUGGCAGGUGUAAAGAAAUAGUGGUUUCUUUGUCUCCCAGAAUAAAAAAUCUGGAAGUGGGCAGGGCUGGCAUCUGUGGGGUUCACUUGGCCUUUCCCCAUGGAAAUAAGACUGCAGCAGUUUCCGUAUCAGGAGUCUUUUCAAAGCAGGAAGAAGGCGGUCUGUCCUAGGCACCCUCCUUCCACACAGGUCCCUUGGCCAGAACAGGUCACGUGGUUUCUCCCAGUUGCAAGGUAGGCCGGGGAAGCACAGGGCAGUUGCCAUGAUCCGUGGCUCACCCUGGCUGACCACUCUGUUAUGCCCCAAACAAAAGCAGUUUCAUUAGUAAGGAAGAAGGGGACAUGAAUAUCGGGAAGCCAGUCAUGCCACACGAGACCCUGGGGAGCAAACAUUUUUCCUUUUGUUGUUGUUGUAGAGCUGAGGUCUCACAAUGUCACCCAGGCUGGUCUCAAACUCCUGGCCUCAAGCGAUCCCCCUGACUCUCAAAAUGCUGAGAUUACAUGCAUGAGCCACCACACCUGGCUGAUAAACAUUUUCAAUAAAGGCUAAAUUCAGGUAAUAUAAUCUCCUGCCCUGCCCACUGCACAGACAAAUCAAUCUCGAAAGCUCAGAGGUAUUUCAAGAAUAGUUUGGUGGCUGGAUGCGGUGGUUCACGCCUGUAAUCCCAGCACUUUGGGAGGCCGAGGCGGGUGGAUCACCUGAGGUCAGGAGUUUGAGACCAGCCUGACCAACGUGAUGAAACCCCGUCUCUACUAAAAAUACAAAAUUAGCUGGAGGUGGUAGCGGUGGUGGGCGCCUGUAAUCCCAGCUACUCAGGAGGGUGACACAGGAGAAUCGCUUGAACCCGGGAGGCGGAGGUUGCAAUGAGCCGAGAUCGUGCACUCCAGCCUCGGUGACAGAGUGAGACUCAGUCUCAAAAAAAAAAAAAAAAAAAGAAUAGUGAAUAGUUUGGUGGACAGGGGCUAUAGGAAACGGGGAAUGUUGGUUGGUUGGGAAUGAAACCAUACGGGUGUGGAACCCGGUCCUCUGUGUGUGUGUGUGUAGACUGCCUCUGUGUGGGGGCCACAGGACCAACUGAGUCAUGAGUCUCAGGUUGAGUGGAGUCAGCCAGUCAGAAAUGCGAAAAGUCUGAAAAGACAUCUCAAAACACCAGUCUUAGGUUUUACAAUGGUGAUGUUAGCUACAGGAACAAUUGGGGAAAUUGAAAAUCUCAUGACCUCCAGAACAAUGGCUGGUUACCCUUUAUGCCUACAUCUCAGCAGAAUCCAGGCUCUUCUCAUAAUCCUGAUCUUGUGUGCUUUCAUUCAUUUUAUAAGGGUGGUUUAGUUUGGGGAAGGGCUAUUAUCAUCCUUGUUUUAAGGUUAAACAAUAAACAAAAUUCCUCUCAAAGUUACCUUGGCCUAAACCCGGCAGGAAUGACCCAGGUUGGAGACUGGAGGUAAGACAGCCAACUAUGUCAAAUUUCUCUUACUGUCAUAAUUUUAUUUUAUUUUAUUUAUUUAUUCAUUUAUUUAUUUUGAGACAGAGUUUUGCUCUUGUUGCCCAGGCUGGAGUGCAAUGGUGCAAUCUCAGCUCACCGCAACCUCUGCCUCUCGGGUUCAAGUGAUUCUCCUGCCUCAGCCUCCCAAGCAGCUGGGAUUACAGGCCCGCGCCACCACACCUGGCUAAUUUUGUAUUUUUAGUAGAGAUGGGGUUUCUCCAUGUUGGUCUCCAGGCUGGUCUCCAACUCCCGACCUCAGGAGGAGCACAUAUGGGUCAAGAUGUUACGGGCUCAACCAGCGUGGUGGCUCACACCUGGAAUCCCAGCACUUUGGGAGGCUGAGGCAGGUGGAUCACCUGAGGUCAGGAGUUCAAGACCAGCGUGGCCAACAUGGUGAAACCCUGUCUCUACAAAAAAUACAAAAAUUAGCCGGGCAAUAAUAAUAAUAAUAAUAAUAAUGAAGUGAUGGGCUCUAAUCCAGACCCUCCUCGGGUUUUCAGUCCUAAACUCUUUGGCUACUCCUUACAGGAAGUUGUCCAGUUACACAUCUCUGAUCCUUCCCCAGGAUCAAAACCCAGGAAGGAGGCCUUGAAGCCAGACAGAACCAUGUUCAAAUUCCCACUCUACUACUUGGCAGUGUGUGGCCUUGGGCAAGUUACUUGGCUCUGAGCCUCCUAAGCAGGGGUAACCCCUUUGAGAGGUUGUAGGAUUCAAUGGGAGACCAUGGAUUAGCGCCAAGAAAUAGCAGGUGCUCCAUAAAUAUCCGUGCCUUUCUGGGGAUACAGCCAAGUGGAAACUCAGCCAUGGACGAUACCUGGGCUCCUGGGAGCCAACAUCACUUUAUUUCCCACAUUCUGCUAACAAAAUCCAAUUCGUUAUAAUCAGGGGUCAUCUGUUUUGCUUUCCUUUGCCAAUAAAAAAUUGACUUGGCAUGAAGUCUUCAGUAGUUACUUCAGCUAACAUUUGUUGAACACCGUCCAGGAGCCAGGCACCCUGCUGCUCAGAGGCUGGCCCUGGCCCUCUGGGAGUUCAGAGUCUCACUGCAGAAUGGCACCUGCAGGCAAAGAACUCUAAAACAAGGCAGGGUAGUGAGAGAUGUGAGCCAUACGUUCAAAAUGCUGGGACUUCAGAGACAGCAGAGGCCACCUGGGUGUGGCAUGGGCUUGGCAUGCAGUCCUCUGGGGCUACUGCGGAAGGGGUGUCACCAGGACCAGCUACAGAACUUAUGGGGCCCCUUUUUCAAAAAGUUAUUAAGAAUCUUGGUAAUAGGCCAGGCGCGGCGGC
rnacentral:lncRNA from 1 species